AUGUGUGUCAGUCCUAUUUCAUUGUUAGAAUAUAACUAGCGUAACACGGUCACUUAGGCCAUCUCUCGAACAAUAGAUAGGCAUUUCACAGAUGGUAAUGGAGUGAACUUUGUUGGAAUUCAUCUACUUCUUUGGUAAAUCUCCUUCCCUGCAAAAUCAAAUUUAUACACAACCCAUUCAUAUCUAACAAACCAUGACUCUUAAGCAUUCAUUCAUUUCAUUCUCAAUCAACAACUAAUCACCAAAUGUCUACCCCUUAGUCCAGUCUAUAAAUUGAACUUGAGUCUUCAUCCCAAAGGCGUGUUUGAUAAAUAGAAUAGCAGCGAAUUCAUAAUUCAACUUUGGGGUUACUGUAUACAAGAAGAAAUCAAACUAAUCUCUGCUCCACUGGUUCUAGGUGGUUAUUGGGUUUCCUCUUUCUUCUGUUGUAUACUUAAAAUGGUUGGGGCUAAAUGAAAUCUUCUUAAACGAUCGAGCAAAAACAGAAGCAGAUCGAAGAAAUGUACCUGAACUUGAUCCCAAGUAAUUGAGCGUUUAUGCAAUUGAGUCAUGAUGAAAUCGAAGACUGUAGCUGCCACGGUGGGGAGAUGAUGAAGAUCUGGAUGUGAAGUAGUUCAUUACCUAGAACACCGAUAGGAUGGAAUUGUUCUGUAAAAUCAUAUGUGAAGACUGUAGCUGCCACGAUCGGUCGGCCCUUCCCAUAACCUAAAUUAAAGGUCAGGGUGAUUGUUAUUUUGCGGUUGAUUGUCAAAUUCGUUCUGCUGCCCACAGUCAAACGUGGGAGAUGAUGAAGAUCUGGGUUAGAUAGGAAACGAAGAAGACGACUAAACAUCACCGUUGUCGUUGUUUUAGGGUGGGGGUAUUUUUGGUAGUUUAUUGUAAAUAUUUUUCUUUUUGCCACGCGUGCACAGGUGCUGACUCAACCAACCUAGCAAUGGAUGGAAAAGCUAACUACGGGAGGAUAUACUAAUUUCAAUCUAUUUGGGAAGGGAACACUAAUUAGCGAUCUUGGGAGGGGAGGAAACACAAAAUAGCCCUUUUAAAAUUUGUUGCUCCUAUGUAAUAAAUAUAUGGAAGAUUUGAAAUAACUUAGAUCGAAUCGUGCAUAAGAUGGAUAGCGUUAAUGACGUUUUGGGACAUUUGUUUGGAACCCCCAUGGAUAUAUUGCCUAUUAUAUGGGUAUGGAUGUUCGAUUUUCUUGAUUUUUGCAGCGGUAUACAUAGUUGUACACAACAAGUGUAAAUUAAAAUUUU